rnacentral:rRNA from 1 species
AGAGUUUGAUCCUGGCUCAGGACGAACGCUGGCGGCGCGCCUAACACAUGCAAGUCGAACGGAGCUUAAAGAGCUUGCUUUUUAAGCUUAGUGGCGAACGGGUGAGUAACGCGUGAGUAACCUGCCCUGGAGUGGGGGACAACAGUUGGAAACGACUGCUAAUACCGCAUAAGCCCACGGAUCCGCAUGGAUCUGCGGGAAAAGGAUUUAUUCGCUCUAGGAUGGACUCGCGUCCAAUUAGCUAGUUGGUGAGGUAACGGCCCACCAAGGCGACGAUUGGUAGCCGGACUGAGAGGUUGAACGGCCACAUUGGGACUGAGACACGGCCCAGACUCCUACGGGAGGCAGCAGUGGGGAAUAUUGCACAAUGGGGGAAACCCUGAUGCAGCGACGCCGCGUGGAGGAAGAAGGUUUUCGGAUUGUAAACUCCUGUCGUUAGGGACGAUAAUGACGGUACCUAACAAGAAAGCACCGGCUAACUACGUGCCAGCAGCCGCGGUAAAACGUAGGGUGCAAGCGUUGUCCGGAAUUACUGGGUGUAAAGGGAGCGCAGGCGGACCGGCAAGUUGGAAGUGAAAACUAUGGGCUCAACCCAUAAAUUGCUUUCAAAACUGCUGGCCUUGAGUAGUGCAGAGGUAGGUGGAAUUCCCGGUGUAGCGGUGGAAUGCGUAGAUAUCGGGAGGAACACCAGUGGCGAAGGCGACCUACUGGGCACCAACUGACGCUGAGGCUCGAAAGCAUGGGUAGCAAACAGGAUUAGAUACCCUGGUAGUCCAUGCCGUAAACGAUGAUUACUAGGUGUUGGAGGAUUGACCCCUUCAGUGCCGCAGUUAACACAAUAAGUAAUCCACCUGGGGAGUACGACCGCAAGGUUGAAACUCAAAGGAAUUGACGGGGGCCCGCACAAGCAGUGGAGUAU